GACGAACGCUGGCGGCGUGCUUAACACAUGCAAGUCGAGCGGUAAGGCCCUUUCGGGGGUACGACGAGCGGCGAACGGGUGAGUAACACGUGGGUGACCUGCCCUCAGCUCUGGGAUAAGCCUGGGAAACCGGGGUACUAAUACUGGAUAUGACUCCAUGACGCAUGUUGUGGGGUGGAAAGCCUUGUGCGGCUGAGGACGGGCCCGCGGCCUAUCAGCUUGUUGGUGGGGUGANGGCCUACCAAGG
rnacentral:rRNA from 1 species